AAUAAGAUUAUUUUUUGUUUUUCCGUGUCCAAUGUUUGACCAUUCGUAUUAUUUGAAAAAAUUGUAUAAAAAUUUAAAAAAAUUAGUCACGCAUAAAAUACUAUUUAUGUUUUAUCAUCUAGUAAGAACAAAAAUAUUAAUCACAAAAUUUUUUUCAAAUAAGACGAAUGGUCAAACAUUAGAUACGGAAAAAC
rnacentral:pre_miRNA from 1 species